rnacentral:rRNA from 1 species
UACGGAGGGAGCUAGCGUUAUUCGGAAUUACUGGGCGUAAAGCGCACGUAGGCGGCUUUGUAAGUAAGAGGUGAAAGCCCGGAGCUCAACUCCGGAACUGCCUUUUAGACUGCAUCGCUUGAACCCAGGAGAGGUGAGUGGAAUUCCGAGUGUAGAGGUGAAAUUCGUAGAUAUUCGGAAGAACACCAGUGGCGAAGGCGGCUCACUGGACUGGUAUUGACGCUGAGGUGCGAAAGCGUGGGGAGCAAACAGG